rnacentral:lncRNA from 10 species
AUUGUCUACACGCAUUUAGUCACUUGGUUAUAUUCCUUCUUCCUGUUUUAUACUUUUACAAAAAAUUGUUUAAUAUGGGUAAAUUUUGCCCCAUUAACAAGCUUCUCCAGGGCAAACUCAGAAAAUGAAUCUUUUCCAGUCUGUAACAAGUGCCUUGGAUAACUCAUUGGCCAAAGAUCCUACUGCAGUAAUAUUUGGUGAAGAUGUUGCCUUUGGUGGAGUCUUUAGAUGCACUGUUGGCUUGCGAGACAAAUAUGUCCCUGGCAAGAACCCAUUCUACUUUCUAUCUCUAUGAAUUUG